rnacentral:rRNA from 1 species
GAUGAACGCUGGCGGCGUGCCUAAUACAUGCAAGUCGAGCGAACAGACGAGGAGCUUGCUCCUCUGACGUUAGCGGCGGACGGGUGAGUAACACGUGGAUAACCUACCUAUAAGACUGGGAUAACUUCGGGAAACCGGAGCUAAUACCGGAUAAUAUAUUGAACCGCAUGGUUCAAUAGUGAAAGACGGUUUUGCUGUCACUUAUAGAUGGAUCCGCGCCGCAUUAGCUAGUUGGUAAGGUAAUGGCUUACCAAGGCAACGAUGCGUAGCCGACCUGAGAGGGUGAUCGGCCACACUGGAACUGAGACACGGUCCAGACUCCUACGGGAGGCAGCAGUAGGGAAUCUUCCGCAAUGGGCGAAAGCCUGACGGAGCAACGCCGCGUGAGUGAUGAAGGUCUUCGGAUCGUAAAACUCUGCUAUUAGGGAAGAACAAAUGUGUAAGUAACUAUGCACGUCUUGACGGUACCUAAUCAGAAAGCCACGGCUAACUACGUG